rnacentral:rRNA from 1 species
AGUCUAAGUAUAAGCUACUUUAUACGGCGAAACUGCGAAUAGCUCAUUACAACAGUUAUAAUUCACACGACGAUCAUUACCAGAUGGAUAUCCAUGGUAAUUCUGGAGCUAAUACAUGCUAUAACACCCGACUCAUUGGAAGGGUGGCAUUCAUUAGUUCAUACAGACCCAACCAGAAUCCUCGUGAUUUUGAGCUUUGGUGAUCAUAGUGACGGAGCGGAUCGCAUUUUCUAUGCGACAGUUCGUUCAAGUUUCUGACCUAUCAGCUCCCGUCGGUAGGGUAUUGGCCUACCGAGGCUGUGACGGGUAACGGGGAAUUAGGGUUCGAUUCCGGAGAGGGAGCCUGAGAAACGGCUACCACAUCUAAGGAUGGCAGCAGGCGCGCAAAUUACCCAAUCCCGACACGGGGAGGUAGUGACCAGAAAUAGCAACGCAGGGCAUAUGCUCUGUGAUUGCAAUGAGCGGAAAGCAAAACUGUUUGCGAGUACCUAUUGGAGGGCAAGUCUGGUGCCAGCAGCCGCGGUAAUUCCAGCUCCNAUAGCGUAUAUNAAAGUUGCUGCAGUUAAAGCGUCCGUAGUUGGAUUUCGUUCAAUCAGAUGGGAUUAGCUCUUUGGAUGCGCAAGCGUUCAUUGUUGCUCUCAUUCUAUUGAACUUGGGUGGUUUUCGAGCUUCGGCUCCCAAUCUACCUCGUUACUUUGAGCAAAUUGGAGUGCUCCAACCAAGCUACAGCUUGAACAGCUCAGCAUGGAAUAACAAGAUAGGACUUCGGAUCUUCUUGUUGGUGUCUUCAGAACCGAAAGUAAUGGUUGAUAAGGACAUACGGGGGCAUUUGUACUUGCUGGAGAGAGGUGAAAUUCUAAGACCCAGCAAAGACAAACAAGUGCGAAGGCAUUUGCCCAGUAUGUACCUGUUAAUCAAGGACGAAAGUUGGGGGAUCGAAGAUGAUUAGAUACCGUCGUAGUCCCAACUAUAAACUAUGCCGACUGAGGAUCGGUGGCCGUACUUCUACGACUCCUUCGGCACUCCAAGAGAAAUCUAAGUCUUUGGGCCCUGGGGGGAGUAUGGUCGCAAGGCUGAAACUUAAAGGAAUUGACGGAAGGGCACCACCAGGAGUGGAGCCUGCGGCUUAAUUUGACUCAACGCGGGGAACCUCACCAGGCCCGGACAUAGUCAUGAUUGACAGAUUGAGAGUUCUUUCUCGAUUCUAUGGGGUGGUGGUGCAUGGCCGUUCUUAGUCGGUGAGGUGACUUGUCUGGUUAAUUCCGAUAACGGACGAGACCUCGACCUGCUAACUAGCUAUCUUUUACUAUAUGUGAGGGAUUGGCUUCUUAGAGGGACUUUGGGAGUUUAUCCCAAGGAAGUUCGAGCCUAUAACAGGUCUGUGAUGCCCUUAGAUGGCCUGGGCUGCACGUGCGCUACAAUGACAAAGUCAGCGAGUAUUACCCUUCUCCGUUCGGAGUGGGCAAUCUUUUGAAACUUUGUCGUGAUAGGGAUUGACCCUUGCAAUUAUGGGUCAUGAACGAGGAAUUCCUAGUAAGGACAAGUCAUCACCUUGUGCUGAUUACGUCCCUGCCCUUUGUACACACCGCCCGUCGCUUCAACCGAUUGGAUGAUCCGGCA